rnacentral:rRNA from 1 species
CGGAGGGAUCAUUACACAAAUAUGAAGGCGGGCUGGAAUCUCUCGGGGUUACAGCCUUGCUGAAUUAUUCACCCUUGUCUUUUGCGUACUUCUUGUUUCCUUGGUGGGUUCGCCCACCACUAGGACAAACAUAAACCUUUUGUAAUUGCAAUCAGCGUCAGUAACAAAUUAAUAAUUACAACUUUCAACAACGGAUCUCUUGGUUCUGGCAUCGAUGAAGAACGCAGCGAAAUGCGAUAAGUAGUGUGAAUUGCAGAAUUCAGUGAAUCAUCGAAUCUUUGAACGCACAUUGCGCCCUUUGGUAUUCCAAAGGGCAUGCCUGUUCGAGCGUCAUUUGUACCCUCAAGCUUUGCUUGGUGUUGGGCGUCUUGUCUCUAGCUUUGCUGGAGACUCGCCUUAAAGUAAUUGGCAGCCGGCCUACUGGUUUCGGAGCGCAGCACAAGUCGCACUCUCUAUCAGCAAAGGUCUAGCAUCCAUUAAGCCUUUUUUCAACUUUUGACCUCGGAUCAGGUAGGGAUACCCGCUGAACUU